ensembl:lncRNA
CUCUGUAUCAUGCGGAGCUUCAACAUCCACCUGGAAAUUCCAUGAAGGAAUGAGUCUGAAUAUUGCUUGCUUCAAGUCCACACCACAUUCUCACCCUUUUAUCUUUCAUUACUUUGUCUUUUCCUUAAGAAUAACUUCAUGAAAACUAGGAAGAAUUUUCCAAAUAUGCAUUUUCAUUUCUUCCUCUUUCCUCUGUCCCCUAGAACUUCAUUCUUCUUAUGUUCAGAGACGAUCCAUAUUGAAAGGAAUGGGAGGAAAGAAAUGUCUGUCAGCACUUUCAGAAGGGGAACUGGCCUCUCUAGUAUUGGAAGUAACAUAAGGAGAAGCAGGACACAACAAUGCUCUAUAGAAGAACACCUCACACAGUGUUUUGAGUUUCAGUGAAUCGCAAGAAAAGGAAGGAUGGGAUCUGACAUCUGGAAAUGAUUAUGAAAACUUAUUGUACUGCAAAAAUAUUCUUCUUUUUCCCUGCCCAAUUCUAACAGAAAGCAGUGAUAUUGAAACAAAUGCCAGACUAAACAGUGGAGAAAACAAUGCAAACAUGAACUUUGCCACCAUCAACCUAAGUACUCAGCUGGAUCAUCAAGGAAAGUACAGACUGGACUGUAUGGAUAUUCUGAAGUGGGUGAAGUAGUCUGCUGGGGAAAGCAACAUGAAAUUUGUAUAUAUAUUUGUGAACAUAAGCAAAAUUUGAUAUCACUGAAAACUAGCUGGUCUUAAGCUGCUGACGUGUGAACUCAGCAGAAAGAUCUAGUUUCUAAAAAAGCUCUAGGAAAAUAGGCACCUCUAGCACAGAGGAAGUCAGAAGGAAAUCAGCUAAAAAGAAUGUCUGCUCUAUUUCCUCUGAGACUUAGGUAUUUCUAUCUCCAGAAAAGGGGAAAUAACUGCAGCUUGCCUUGGGCCCCAGCUGCCUCAGUCAGCUCUUUCGUAGGCUUUGUCAUUUUCUUUUUUGAUAUUGUUGUUGGGUUUUGAGUGAUCUGGCUUUACCAUCAGUCUCCCUUUCUAAAAAUAUUUUUGCUUUUUCAAAUAACCACUGAUUCUGCAUUUAGCUAGUAAUAUGGCGUUGGAUUGCUUGACUCUGUUGAAGUAUUUUCUUGUGUCUGAAAGUUCAAGUAACUUUUAGUGUACAUUUAUCUGACUGUCAUUUAUUUUUAAUUCAAUCAAGAGCAAAUUACCAGUAUAUUGAAAAUCCUUUCAAUGUCCAGCAAUACGACGGUCUGAUUCAGUGUUCAGAACAAACAGGUGCUCACCUCAGAGAUUUUACAACCAUUGUGUAUAGGUGGGAGAGAACUGAGAGGGUGAGGAGAGAAAACUUAUUGUGAAAACCUACCAGGG